UUUUACAGUAACGUACUCCAUACCUGUUUUUGGUUAGAAUUAAUUGCUUCUUUUUUAUCCCUCUAAUUUUUUUGUCGUUUUAUGAGUCGAAAAAUAUCAGAAAGUCCUUCUUAUCAAUGAUCUUCAAAUCCUAUUACCCAAAAAAAAAAAGAAAAAAAAAAACUGAUUUUCAAAUCCAAAACAUGCUAAGGAAGUUGCUUAGUUUCAACUACAUUUGAUAUUACUCGGUUUAUCGAUUAGUCUUAUAACAAACAAAACUUUUUUCAACCCAUCUUAAAUACAUUAAUUGUUUAACGUUGCAGCUAGAUAAACUGCAGAGUCGGAAAAAAAAAGAAAAAAGAAAGAAAGAAAAGAAAAAAGAAAAAAGACUGAUUUUGUCUCGUGGAGAAACUCAACCCCACCCCCCACAAAAAAAAAAAAAAAAAAAAAAAAAAAAAAAAGAAAAAGAAGUGUAAAAUGUAUAACCUUUUUGUGAGAGAUAGAGAGUCAAAACUAAAACAUAAAACGUUUUUUGGGCAACAAACCAAAACAGAUUUUGAUAAAGUAGUUCUAAAUUAGUCUCUCACGGGAAGCUUGCCUUAUUAAUGUUGCCGCCUGUCAAUCCCCAGAGAGAGAUUCCCUCAUUUAAUGUGGUGGUCUUCCUGGUUCGGUAGGACAGUGAGUAUCACGAUCAUGAACGAUCCCUUUGCUGGGUCUCAGAUUUUGAAUUUUUGGCUUUCCCUUAAUUAUUUUCAACCAUAAAGACCAUUUCCUAUACCUCUUAAAAUCACUAACUUGUCCUUGCCAAAUAUCAAUCAUCAUGGUGCAGAUUCAGCUUUAUCUUUUCUAUAUAUAAAGCAAGGUUAUUUUGGGUUUUUUAGAUGUAUUUUUGGUUUGGGCACUUCUGGGUAGGUGGUUUUUAUUAGGUCAUUAUGGUUGAGAAGAGAUCAAAGAAAAGGAAAUUUAAAAUAAAAAAAAAUAAAAAAUAAAAAGAUUGGAGGGAGAAUAAUGGGAUUAAAUGCUCUGGCCCAUCUUUCUGCUUUGGUAGUCGCGGUUUUAAAUGCUCAUGCAGACCCUCUUUCCCCUCUUAAAUCCGAUCCAGACAUUCUCACCUCUCUCACACUUUCUUCAAAGUUUUCUUUUUUAUUAACUUACUCAUUUCUCUUUCCCUAUCUCUCUAGUUUUCUUUCUUUGGUCUUGUUCUUCAAUCUUUUUCUCUGUCUUUCUUUUAUGUUUAUUCAAUUUCUUCUUUUUCUUCCCUUUCAUUUGGAAAAUGAUCAUAGUGUUUCAUAAAUCUUUAUGGGGCCCUGUUCAACCUGACUGCUAAGGAGUUCGAAGUAUCACUUUGUUUAUUCCACAUCCUGAUUUCAAUAUACACAUGUAUUUAUAUAUGAAAUAGUCACUGUGAUAUUGGCCUGGUUCACUCAGACAGAACACACAUAUAUGUGUUUUUUUUUUUUUUUUUUUUUUGGGACAAAAUUUUGAAUGUGGUUCUGAUUUGAUUGAGCCGUGCCAAUAUCUCAGUGCUCUUUCAUUUCUCUCUAAACUCUCAUAUACCCCCGUCUGUGCAAGAGAAUUGGUGUGUUGCAAAGUGCGGUUAUGGACAUGAAACAGUAACCAUAUACAUAUAUCCUUAUAAGUUGGGUUCGUGAAGCAUUUAUUAUUAUCUUUUGUUUGUUUGUUUAUUUCUGAACUAUAUUUAUUAAUUAAUUAAUUUUUUGCGUUUGAGUUAGAAAUUUUUCGAAUGGGUUGGCAAAAGAUGAGGACUACUGAAAACAAAGUUAAAAGUACCUUACACGUAAAAGUUGCCUCCCGGCAGCAAUAUAUCCAAAGUAAACGCAAGCCACGUUCUCAGGCCCCAUGCAUGAUUGCCUGCCGAUUGAUUAUCUUGAUUAGAGAAAAAAAAAUUAUAAGUUUAAGCAUAUAUAUACUUUUAUUUGUUCUCCAACAAAAACUGUAAAUCUUGGGGUGGUCUCUAAAGCAAGAAAUUAUUAUUAGCAUUACUAAUUCUGUAUGUACUUUGUUGGAAUAUUAACUCUUUGUUAAUAAAUGGUUUCACCAAUUAAAGCUAAAUCAUAACCAAUUUUCCUUUUAUAAUGAAACAACUCUUAUGUAUUCCUUCCUUGCUGUAGUGAUUGAUUUUUUGAAAAUUUGUCUUCUUUUUUUUUUUUUUUUUAUGAUUGCGAUAUCUCAGACCAUUAUAAGUUCCUAUUAUUAUUAUUUUUAUAUUGUAUUACAUUUAAUUUCCUAUGUUAAUCUAUGUUAAAUAUAUAUAUAAAUUGUAAUUGAAUGCUGCUUAUGGGAAGAAAUUUUUGGGUAUAAUAAUUCGAAAAGGGUGUGAGAGUAUGGUCAACUAAUUAGGUUUUCCUGGAAUGUAAUGGAUUUAUCAGAUCAAGAGACUAUCGACCCCAAGUUUAAACAGUCCACCAUAUAAAGUGCUGGUGGCAGAUAUUGCUCUUGCUGCCAUUAUUCUCUAAACUAAGCAAAUUUUCAGAUAUUUUGGGAGUUCAAAUCUUCCAUCAACUUCAGCAAAAUUAUUUCUAUAUAUGAUAGGAUGUAGCUAUCAAAUUGUUAUGCGUUAUGUUAGUUUGUAGCUAGAUAGGUUUGAAACUUUGAACCAACUAGAAAGCCUGGACCAUUAUUCUUUUUUCGCCGGAAGCCUGGACCAUCAUUCGUGAAUAUAUAUAUAUAUAUAUAUUUCACAUCUCUAUGGGAAUUUCUCUUUGUUUCUUGUCUUUUCUGUUUUUUGGGGCCCAAAAAUAAAUAAAAGAUGCGAAAAAUUAACAUUUA